GGACCGUGCGUGUGUGUGUGUGUGUGUGUGUGUGUGUGUGUGUGCGCGCGCGCGCGCGCGCGCGCAUUGGGGUGACUCAGCUUUGCUGUUGUACUAGGCUGAGGCCUCACGUGGGAUUGAAGCGUCAGGCUCCGGAGGUUUUAAAGCUGCGCUGUCCAGUAGGGCGGCCACCAGCCUGUGUGCUAUAGCCCUUGAGACGUGGCUAGUGAGACCGAGGAACUGCAUUUUAAAUGUUACAUACAUUUAAUCUAUUUAAAUAUACUCUUUAAGGCAAAUGUUCAUUUUACCUACUGGAACAUUUUUAAGUAUGUUUGGAACAACGUGGAUACGUGAAUCUGCUUUUUCGACCGUAAAUUAUCUGAACUCUAAAUAUAGAUCAAAUAUUUUAAAUCAAAAUGUAGUGUCUAAAUUAAGAUGUGCUGCUGAGUAUAAAAUGCCCUCUGGGUUUUGAAGACUUAAUACAAAAACAAAGACUAUAAACUACCUCAUUAAUAUUCUCAUAUUGGUUUUACGUUUUGGCUGUAUUGGGUUGAAUAAAAUUUAUCAUUAUACCCAGUUUCACCUAUUUCUUCUUACUCUGUUACGUGGCUAACAGAGCAUUUUAAAUGAUACAUGGCCCUCGUUAUACUUCCAUUGGGCAGUGCUGUUUCAGAGCAUGUGCAAGAGAUUAUUCUUUACCCUCUGGCACUGCAAACGAUUUUCAGUGCGCGGAGGAACUGAAGAAACUCCAAGAAGAGGAACGGCAAUCUGAAAAAAGAACCCAGCCAUCUCGGGAGUCGCAGCCACCGCCGGCGCCAUCACAGUCGCAGCCACCGCCGGCGCCAUCACGGUCGCCACACGCGCAGCCGCAGCCGCAGCCUCCGCAGGUGCCCGAGCGGCCGCCGCCGCCGCCGCCGCCGCCGCCUCAGCCAAAGCCACAAAAUGCCCAAGACCCUCUUACUGAGCGCACCUCCCGGUACAUUCUCCAGGAUUCCCAAAGGCCAGGCGCCCACAAGGACAGAUUCCAAGGAGGGGUGAUGAACCCUCAAGGUGCAGGUGUCGGGAAAUCUAGCCCAGAUACACACACCAAGUACCCACGAUUCACGGCGCAAAGGAUGGGAGAACCUGAUCCCGGCCCUUUAAGACGAGGACUGGGCUGCUACAUCAUCUCACUUUGAUUACUCGGGCUUCAGAGGGCUGAAGACAAUGUUCUCAAACCAGCAGGCCCAGGAGCUGCUAACUAACCUGUUCUGCCUCCUGUCUCUCCCUCUUCUCAGUCAACGAACUACAUCCAGCAGUGGUGAUUCAGAGACAGACCCCCGAGACCCCACUGGCCGGCCAUCAGCAAACAUCAGAUGAGCAGCCCCGUCUUCCUACCUCCCAGCAGCAUCUCCACUUCAAAAGCCAAGCCCUCCUGAUCCACUCUGGCAGGGGAGGCUAGCUGGGAAUCACGUGUGAUUUCUUCCUGCAAAGAAUCGAGAGACUGGCUGGGCUCCGUGAGACAGAGAUGAGGGGGAGGGCCCAGGAAGACCCACGAAGAGGAUGGAGAGGGUGUGAGAAGACAGUGGAGGGCAAUUCCAUGCUUCCCCAGGCAAAGCCAACGGGAGAACUUGGCCUUGGGCCCCCCAGGUCUACAGCUCCACUACUGGCCCUUAUCUAGCAGUGAUAUCACGGACUCUCACUGGAGCCACCAGCCCUUCCUCCUGGCCGAUGCUUAUUGAGAUGCACCUGGGGAAGCGUGGGUUGCAUCACACCAGAGCAGACCUGGGACCUGGGGCAGCAUCAGGAAGAAGUGGCACGCAGGGGCCUCCCCCAAGCGCAGUGUCGUGCCUGGUCCACGGUGGGCACUCCGCUGUUGAACGGAGGGUGGUUGGAAGGGAUGGAGAGAAAGAACUCGGAGGAAAGGAGGACUGUAGCCUCAGGCACAGGACGCCUGACCUUGGGAAGAGGGGGACUGGCCCCCCCCCCACCCAAUCCACAGGCCUCUUCCUCCCUGAGUCUCAGCCUUUCCAUGUAGCAGAGACAACCCAGAGGCUCUGGAGGCCCCAGGCAUCUGCCUCACCUCUUCCUGAAACUGACACCUGGGGUCCCCCAGCCCUGCUCCCUCUUCCACUCUUGACUGGUGAGGGGGAUGCCUGGGUCCUUUCACCGUAGCGUCUCACCUUUGGGUGAGACUGAAGGAGCCUCUCAGUGCAGUGUUUCCUGAGAGGAGCAGUUGGGGGAAGCGAAGGAGCGGGGGCGCACGGAACGGGAGCAUUGAAGUUGGGAGGGGCUCAGAGACACACAACGAGGGAAGGGGAGCGAGCGAGCUCCUGGGAGCGGUCUCCCGGAAGGCAGAGAGGCCGGGCGUGUUCCCGAGGGGCUCAGGGACUGGGGAAGAGACCUUGAUGCCCACUUGGAUAUUAAGGAACAGGCUGUGUGAGAUGGGGAGCGUCCACCGGCUCCCUUCCCACUCACAGGAGCCUUUUAUUUUCCUUCCUUAAACACGGUUAAGCACAGCUGAUUGACUCCAACAUAAAUCCAUUACAUCUGACGAGCUCCACCCAGCGUGAGCUCCAGCCUGGCCCUCGUGGACUUCCGUGCUCUUACCAGCACCACCUCGACGCCAGUUACCCAGGCGUGAAAGCGUGCGGACAGCACGAACUCCUUCCUUCCCCUCAUCCCCCCGGCCGGCUCCUCACCAGGUUCUGGCCCCACGUGCCCUUCUCCGCCCUUCCGACUGCAAACUCAGCUUUCCCUGCCGCUCAAGCUCACCUCUCUGCCUGUCUGACUGAUGGAAACCCGUGACCGCCUUUCGUGAGCAAACACAAUUCCUGCUCGCCUAAAGAACCUGGGGUUUGCCUGGGGCUUCUCGUCACCUGAGUGACAGCAAAGAGGGGACGGCCUGGACCAGUCCCGACUGAUAGGCAGCUCCAUACUGUCAGCGCCCAAAGGAGAGCAGAGGCCUCUGGGAGCAGAGGGCGCCCUGGGACUAGGCUGGGGGUGCAGCGGGACCCAGCAGUCCGGCCUCACCUCUGCAGGUUUUCAGCGGGAGAGCGGCUGCACCCACCGUUUGACCUGCCUGUGUCCCCUCACGUGCGCUCAGGCUUGUGGCCUCCUUCAAUAAAAACCUUUUAAAAUGA